rnacentral:rRNA from 1 species
UACGGGGGGGGCAAGCGUUGUUCGGAAUUACUGGGCGUAAAGGGUUCGUAGGCGGCCAACUAAGUCCUACGUGAAAUCCCUCAGCUUAACUGGGGAACUGCGUCUGAUACUGGUUGGCUUGAGUGCAGGAGAGGAACGCGGAAUUCCAGGUGUAGCGGUGAAAUGCGUAGAUAUCUGGAGGAACACCGGUGGCGAAGGCGGCGUUCUGGACUGCAACUGACACUGAGGAACGAAAGCCAGGGGAGCAAACGGG